rnacentral:misc_RNA from 1 species
GUUUUUACCAUUGAAUUAUCCUUGGUUUGGUUACCUGUGAUUGUCCAGUAAUGUAAGUGUAAGUUUAUCCCCCGGAGCACUGAAGACAGCGUCUAUUGGCUUUCGCACAGUAGGACUGCCAACAGCACAACCGGGAAGACGAGUUUUGGAAUUUGUUAAUGAUCCUUCCGCAGGUUCACCUACGGAAA